GAAAGUAUUCCCUUUUCGUUAUGUUUAUUGGGUACUGAUGAGGCUGGCCGUACACUUGCAAAGUGUAGCCAAGCACAAGCCGAAGAAUCGGAAUGAGAAUGCAUAAAUGAGAAAUGUGAAUAUUGCACGGAGUUACAUAAUGAUCAAUGAUGAUAAUGAACAUGAAUAAAUGCGAUGUACAUAAAUAGAGCUUACGACAAUAGUAGAAAUGAAGCCGAAAGUCCAAUGAAGAUGAAGAGAGUUGAGAACGAAGGAAGGGGCUCACGCGAUGAAAUGUGCGGAGGCUUGAAGAGGCGGAAACGCGACUUCGUUGACGUGGUUGAAGAACCGUGAAGAACGCGAUGUCGUCGCCGACGCUCGUGAUGAUGAUGAAUGUAGAUGGAGCUCUCGGGCGAGAAUAGAAGAGAAGAGAAGAGAUGUGUGGCGCUCGAUGACGAAAGCAGUGAGUCGCUUGAUGUCGGAGGCCAAAGUGGAAAAUGCAGACAUCAAAGCCGGUAGUGGUGCUGAGACGGUGAGUCGCUCGAUUGAUGAGCCGAACUUUGAUGGUGAAUGUUUAGAUGAGCUGCGGUGAGUCGAGCUCAUGUGAGUGAAAGACUACCGGUGAAGAAACUGGCAGCUCCCAGCGGAUAACCAAGCACCAUAUAUGUCGGAACUAGAUUUAACUGUUCCACUGGAAGACUGCAGCCCGAUGAACACGGCAGUGAAAGUGAAGAUGUGCCGAUAGAAGUGAUAGGCACAGUAGAAUCAAGCCCGGAGAAGAAAUCAUGCAGAAACGUGUUGACUCAACUGAGAUGUAAGCAGGAGUUGUUGACUCGACCGAGGUGUAAGCGGGAGUGAAGAAAACCUCGUGGUGAUGAAAAUACGCGGGUGAACGAUGCGCGGAACCACGAUGCUCGAUUGGAGGAAUGAACACACGUGGUCCGAAUAAUGAAUAUAAAUAAGAACCGUGAUGGAAAAAUACAGGAGACAUGAAUUAAUGUACGGUGAAAGUAGGGCAUGUAAGAGCCGCUACAUUACUCCCCUGCCAGAAUUGAAGCUGUGUAUGCAAUACACAGAUGAGAGGCGAAAAA